UACGUAGGGCGCAAGCGUUGUCCGGAAUUAUUGGGCGUAAAGAGCUCGUAGGCGGCCUGUUGCGUCCGCUGUGAAAUCCCGGGGCUUAACCCCGGGCGUGCAGUGGAUACGGGCUGGCUAGAGGCAGGCAGGGGAGAACGGAAUUCCCGGUGUAGCGGUGAAAUGCGCAGAUAUCGGGAGGAACACCGGUGGCGAAGGCGGUUCUCUGGGCCUGUACUGACGCUGAGGAGCGAAAGCGUGGGGAGCAAACAGG
rnacentral:rRNA from 1 species